rnacentral:rRNA from 1 species
CCAUGCAAGUCGAACGGAGAUUUUUAUUUCGGUAAAAAUCUUAGUGGCAAACGGGUGAGUAACGCGUAGGCAACCUGCCUUUCCGAUGGGGACAACAGUUCGAAAGGACUGCUAAUACCGAAUGAUGUAUAUCUUCCGCAUGGGGGACAUACCAAAGACGGCCUCUAUUUAUAAGCUGUCACGGAAAGAUGGGCCUGCGUCUGAUUAGCCAGUU